rnacentral:rRNA from 1 species
GACGAACGCUGGCGGCGUGCUUAACACAUGCAAGUCGAACGGAAAGGCCCCUUUGGGGGUACUCGAGUGGCGAACGGGUGCGUAACACGUGAGUAACCUGCCCUUGACUUCCGGUUGACUUCAUGAAACUGGGUCUAAUACAUGACAGGAAUCCUUGCUGCAUGGAGGGGGGUGGAAAGAUUGUGCGGUUUGGGGGUGACUCGCUGCUUGUCCGCCUGUUUGUUGGGUAGGGGCUUACCCAGGCUUUGACUGGUAGCCGGCCUGAGAGGGCGACCGGCCACCUUUGGGCUGGGAUACGGCCCAGACUCCUACCGGAGGCAGCAGUGGGGAAUAUUUGCCCAUGGGCGGGAGCCUGAUGGAGCCAAGCCGCGUGCGGGAUGACGGCCUUCGGGUUGGAAACCGCUUUCAGCAGGGGAGAAGCUUGUGGUGACGGUACCUGCAGAAGAAGCACCGGCUAACUACGUG